GAUGACGUCUCCGCCCGCCCCUUGACCCCCCACGGUCCCGCCCCCUUCCUACCUUCCAGUAGCCGGCGGCGGUGUCUCAGGCGGCAAUGGAAGGAUCCGAUCCUGUGGCCGCCCAUCAGCGGGAAGAGGCGUCCUGUUCUUCCUGGGGGACUGGCAGCACAAAUAAAAAUUUGCCCAUUAUGUCAACAGCAUCUGUGGAAAUCGAUGAUGCAUUAUACAGUCGACAGAGGUACGUUCUUGGAGACACAGCAAUGCAGAAGAUGGCCAAGUCCCAUGUUUUCUUAAGUGGGAUGGGUGGUCUUGGUUUGGAAAUUGCAAAGAAUCUUGUUCUUGCAGGGAUUAAGGCAGUUACAAUUCAUGAUACAGAAAAAUGCCAAGCAUGGGAUCUAGGAACCAACUUCUUUCUCAGUGAAGAUGAUGUUGUUAAUAAGAGAAACAGGGCUGAAGCUGUACUUAAACAUAUUGCAGAACUAAAUCCAUAUGUUCAUGUCACAUCAUCUUCUGUUCCUUUCAAUGAGACCACAGAUCUCUCCUUUUUAGAUAAAUACCAGUGUGUAGUAUUGACUGAGAUGAAACUUCCAUUGCAGAAGAAGAUCAAUGACUUUUGCCGUUCUCAGUGCCCUCCAAUUAAGUUUAUCAGUGCAGAUGUACAUGGAAUUUGGUCAAGGUUAUUUUGUGAUUUCGGUGAUGAAUUUGAAGUUUUAGAUACAACAGGAGAAGAACCAAAAGAAAUUUUCAUUUCAAACAUAACGCAAGCAAAUCCUGGCAUUGUUACUUGCCUUGAAAAUCAUCCUCACAAACUGGAGACAGGACAAUUCCUAACAUUUCGAGAAAUUAAUGGAAUGACAGGUUUAAAUGGAUCUAUACAACAAAUAACGGUGAUAUCGCCAUUUUCUUUUAGUAUUGGUGACACCACAGAACUGGAACCAUAUUUACAUGGAGGCAUAGCUGUCCAAGUUAAGACUCCUAAAACAGUUUUUUUUGAAUCACUGGAGAGGCAGUUAAAACAUCCAAAGUGCCUUAUUGUGGAUUUUAGCAAUCCUGAGGCACCUUUAGAGAUUCACACAGCUAUGCUUGCCUUGGACCAGUUUCAGGAGAAAUACAGUCGCAAGCCAAAUGUUGGAUGCCAACAAGAUUCAGAAGAACUGUUGAAACUAGCAACAUCUAUAAGUGAAACCUUGGAAGAGAAGCCUGAUGUAAAUGCUGACAUUGUGCAUUGGCUCUCUUGGACUGCCCAAGGCUUUUUAUCUCCACUUGCUGCAGCAGUAGGAGGUGUUGCCAGCCAAGAAGUAUUGAAAGCUGUAACAGGAAAAUUUUCUCCUUUGUGCCAGUGGUUAUAUCUUGAAGCAGCAGAUAUUGUUGAAUCACUAGGCAAACCUGAAUGUGAAGAAUUUCUCCCACGAGGAGAUAGAUAUGAUGCCUUAAGAGCUUGCAUUGGAGACACUUUGUGUCAGAAACUGCAAAAUUUAAACAUCUUCUUAGUAGGGUGUGGAGCCAUAGGCUGUGAAAUGUUGAAAAAUUUUGCUUUACUUGGUGUUGGCACAAGCAAAGAGAAAGGAAUGAUUACAGUUACAGAUCCUGACUUGAUAGAGAAAUCCAACUUAAAUAGACAGUUCCUAUUUCGUCCUCAUCACAUACAGAAACCUAAAAGCUACACUGCUGCUGAUGCUACUCUGAAAAUAAAUUCUCAAAUAAAGAUAGAUGCACACCUGAACAAAGUAUGUCCAACCACUGAGACCAUUUACAAUGAUGAGUUCUAUACUAAACAAGAUAUAAUUAUUACAGCAUUAGAUAAUGUGGAAGCCAGGAGAUACGUAGACAGUCGUUGCUUAGCAAAUCUAAGGCCUCUUUUAGAUUCUGGAACAAUGGGCACUAAGGGACACACUGAAGUUAUUGUACCGCAUUUGACUGAGUCUUACAAUAGUCAUCGGGAUCCCCCAGAAGAGGAAAUACCAUUUUGUACUCUAAAAUCCUUUCCAGCUGCUAUUGAACAUACCAUACAGUGGGCAAGAGAUAAGUUUGAAAGUUCCUUUUCCCACAAACCUUCAUUGUUUAACAAAUUUUGGCAAACCUAUUCAUCUGCAGAAGAAGUCUUACAGAAGAUACAGAGUGGACACAGUUUAGAAGGCUGUUUUCAAGUUAUAAAGUUACUUAGCAGAAGACCUAGAAAUUGGUCCCAGUGUGUAGAAUUAGCAAGAUUAAAGUUUGAAAAAUAUUUUAACCAUAAGGCUCUUCAGCUUCUUCACUGUUUCCCUCUGGACAUACGAUUAAAAGAUGGCAGUUUAUUUUGGCAGUCACCAAAGAGGCCACCCUCUCCAAUAAAAUUUGAUUUAAAUGAACCUUUGCACCUCAGUUUCCUUCAGAAUGCUGCAAAACUAUAUGCUACAGUAUAUUGUAUUCCAUUUACAGAAGAGGACUUAUCAGCAGAUGCCCUCUUGAAUAUUCUUUCAGAAGUAAAGAUUCAGGAAUUCAAGCCUUCCAAUAAGGUUGUUCAAACAGAUGAAACUGCAAGGAAACCAGACCAUGUUCCUAUUAGCAGUGAAGAUGAGAGGAAUGCAAUUUUCCAACUAGAAAAGGCUAUUUUAUCUAAUGAAGCCACCAAAAUAAAAUCUUUACUGCUUGCUGUGGAACUUUAUCUGGUUGGUAUAAUCAGGUGACCUUCAGAUGGCAGUGCUUUCAUUUGAAAAAGAUGAUGAUCAUAAUGGACACAUAGAUUUCAUCACAGCUGCAUCAAAUCUUCGUGCCAAAAUGUACAGCAUUGAACCAGCUGACCGUUUCAAAACAAAGCGCAUAGCUGGUAAAAUUAUACCUGCUAUCGCAACAACCACUGCUACAGUUUCUGGCUUGGUUGCCUUGGAGAUGAUCAAAGUAACUGGUGGCUAUCCAUUUGAAGCUUACAAAAAUUGUUUUCUUAACUUAGCCAUUCCAAUUGUAGUAUUUACAGAGACAACUGAAGUAAGGAAAACUAAAAUCAGAAAUGGAAUAUCAUUUACAAUUUGGGAUCGAUGGACCGUACAUGGAAAAGAAGAUUUCACCCUCUUGGAUUUCAUAAAUGCAGUCAAAGAGAAGUAUGGAAUUGAGCCAACAAUGGUGGUACAGGGAGUCAAAAUGCUUUAUGUUCCUGUAAUGCCUGGUCAUGCAAAAAGAUUGAAGUUAACAAUGCAUAAACUUGUAAAACCUUCUACUGAAAAGAAAUAUGUGGAUCUUACUGUGUCAUUUGCUCCAGACAUUGAUGGAGAUGAAGAUUUGCCGGGACCUCCAGUAAGAUACUACUUCAGUCAUGACACUGAUUAAUACAAGUUGUCUUAACGUUACUCCAGGACCACUUGAUUUUGGAAAGAGUGCACUUAAUUCAGAAGCUAAAGAAAAUCAGUUCAUAAUACUAUGGAUUUCUCUUUCAUUAAGCCUUAAUUUUAAGGGAAACAUCAGUAAGAAACUGCACUGAAGAAUUAUAAAACAUUUUGGGGCAUAGCAUACACUUGUCUAACGGUUCACACGUGGCUAUGAUCACAAGCAACUUUGAACUGGAAUGCUAUUUACAAAAGUUUUGUGUAUUAAUCUGUGUAUUAAUCUCUCUGGAUAAAAAGAAGGAAAAAAUAUGUAUGACCAGAACACAUAUGGAUGAAGAAAUUGAAAGCAACGAAUGCAACUAUUCAAAAAGUUUAAUUUUAUGAAUUUCUUUUUUGUUUAGUCUUGAAGACUGAUUUUCUAUGCAAAUAGUGUUUGGCAUCCUGCACCUCUGAUAUGAUUUGGCUUUGAGAAUUUAAUACCACUGGGAAGAAGUAUGGUAGUGGUGGAUGAAGGGUGGACAUUUUAAAUUGUGCAGUUACAGUUUACUGUCCUAUUACCUCUGCUCGUUUAACCAGUUUGUUAUAUCACUAUGUCCCCAAAAUCAGGAUUUUUGUUGAUAGCAUCAGUGUUGUAGGAGCAAUAGGUCAGAUGAGACAUAUUAACUUAGACUAAACGUGAACAAUAUUAUAUGGACUCUCACAACGCUCUUAGAGAAUCCGUGAAUGUGAACAGACAAAUGUGGCUAACCAUUUGAUUCUUCAGUAUGCCUUCUAAUGUGGCUAUUUUAUUUAUGUGAGACUCUAAACCUGGUUGUCCUAAUAUAUAAAACUAAAAGAUUUUGUAAAGGGAGUGUCUUUAGAAAUAGAUGAAAUGUAGAAUGUUAAAAAUUAUUGCUAGGGUAGUCUUUUUUUUUUCCAGAAACCUAAUUAGGGUAUUAAAUUUUGUUUUUUGUUUUUUUGUUUUUUUUAAACAGAAGCAUGUUAUUUCAUUCCCAUUCCCAGAAAGGGAGUUAAUGAAGAUAAAAAUUUAUUUUUUAAGGUCUUUAUUGAGAGAAACUUUGUUUUCUGAUAUGAACUAUUGCAGAUGUUUUUAUAAAUACUUUCAUUAAAAUGAUGUAAACAGUAGUACCCAACACUGUAAACUCAGUGAAAAUAGUAAAUGAUUCUUUUAUUACUAAGACUGUCAUGCAUUCUGAAGCAGUUGGCUUUUUUUUAACCAUAGGAAGUCAUUUCCCUCUAGCUCCUUUCCUUCUACUCUCCUGCUCAGACCAUUAGUAGGUACUUUGUUAAAUAAAAAACUAGAUUAACAUCAAUAUUACUCCAAUUUGGUAUCUUUUACACUAUGUGUUAUACCUACUUUCUUUUUAUUUCAUUUACAAAUAGUUUAAAUUACUUUAUCAACCAGCUGUAUUGUUUCCCUCUUUUGUAAAAGUACCAUCAAGUGGGGAAAAUGUAUGUGGAAGUGGAGAGUGAAUUUGUAUGAUUAAAGGAUAAUCUGUACAUAGGGAAGUGGGCAAAAGUGGAUAGGAUGAAUUUAAAGAAAAUGACUACCUUUGGAAAAAAGAAAUUAAAUUUUGUUCACAUAUCCUACCCUUUCCCAUUGUGCAUAUCCCAAGUGUCAUAUUUAAAACUAAGGUUACUUAAAACAGAAUCCAGGAAUAUCAAGGCUCUGUGGCUUGGAAUUUUAGAGGAUAGGACUAAUAAAAGGACUUUUGCAAAGAAGGCUUUUUUCCACUUUCACUUUGUUUUGUGUUCUUUGAAAGUAACUGAUACUUUUCGGGUAGUUAAUUCAGCAGUCCAUAAAUAUGAUCCAGUAACUUGCUUAUAUUUUAUUGAAGUCUCGACAGCUCUUCAGAAGUAAAUUUAGAACGAUGCUCUCAGUUCAUAUUUAUAGAUAUUAGUGUUUUAGCAGAUAAAACAAAAUCAACAAAAAUUAAGUUCAUUUUGUGAUUAAACCUGCAACCAUUUUUCCAUUACUUUUUUUCUAUAGUUAAUGGUUAUUGCCAUGAUUUCUUCUGUUUGGUUCUACUAAGCUAGAAAGCCAGGGUGAAGUUAAUGAUAAUUCCCAUUAUUUUAUUUCUGUACCAUGAGAUUGCUGUUGAUGACUGAAAUACCAGGUGCAAAAAUUAAUGAUUUGAUUUUUGUACAGUUUCAAUGAGUAAUUUUUUACUUAUUAAAAAUAAAUUAAGAAAUGUAAGAA